rnacentral:rRNA from 1 species
UUACAAUGGCAGGUACAGAGGGGUGCUACCGGGUGACCGGAUGCCGAUCUCGAAAACCUGUCCCAGUUCGGACUGGAGUCUGCAACCCGACUCCACGAAGUUGGAUUCGCUAGUAAUCGCGCAUCAGCCAUGGCGCGGUGAAUACGUUCCCGGGCCUUGUACACACCGCCCGUCAAGCCAUGGGAGCCGGGGGCGCCUGAAGUCCGGGACCGCGAGGACCGGCCUAGGGCGAAACUGGUGACUGGGGCUAAGUCGUAACAAGGUAGC